rnacentral:lncRNA from 1 species
AUGCCUUUCCUUCCGGAGGCGGGGGCGGCGGGGCGCGCCGUGGCCCUGGCCCUGGUGCUGCUGCUCCCCGCAAUGCCCACGGGCGCUGGCGCCCUGCUCCGCCUGCAACCCGGCAUGCCCCACGUGUGUGCGGAGCAGGAACUGACCCUGGUGGGCCGCCGCCAGCCCUGUGUGCGGGCCUUCAGCCGCACAGUGCCCGUGUGGAGGCCGGGUUGUGGGCGGCAGGCCUGGUGUGUCAGCCAUGAGCGCAGAACCAUCUACUACACCGGCUACAGGCAGGUGUACUCCACGGAGGCCCAGACGGUGUUCCGGUGCUGCCCGGGGUGGAGCCAGCAGCCAGGGAGCCAGGGCUGCCUCUCCCCUGUGUGCAGCUCCGGCCUCUGCUUUAACGGCGGCCACUGCGUGUCCGGCUCAGCCCAGCCGUGCCGCUGUCCCCCUGGCUUCCAGGGUCCUCGCUGUCAGCAUGAUGUGAACGAGUGUGCCACUGGCAAUGCAGGCUGUGAGGGUGAGUGUCGCAACACCGUGGGGGGCUUCUACUGCCGCUGCCCGCCCGGCCACCAGCUGCAGGGAGAUGGCAAGACCUGCCGAGACGUGGACGAGUGCCAGGUGCACAAUGGUGGCUGCCAGCACCGGUGUGUGAACACCCCAGGCUCCUACUUCUGCGAGUGCAAGCCCGGCUUCCGUCUCCACGCGGACGGCAGGACCUGCCUGGCCAUCAACUCCUGCACCGUGGGCAACGGUGGCUGCCAGCACAACUGCGUCCAGCUCACAGUGACCCAGCACCGCUGCCAAUGCCGGCCCGAGUUCCAGCUCCAGGAGGAUGGCAGGCGCUGCGUCCGGAGAAACCCGUGCGCGGACAGGAACGGCGGCUGCAUGCACAGGUGCCGGGCGCUCCGGGGCCUUGCCCACUGCGAGUGCCACGCGGGCUACCAGCUGGCAGUGGACCGCAAGGCCUGCGAAGAUGUGGAUGAAUGUGCCACAGGCCUGGCCCAGUGUGCGCAUGGCUGCCUCAACACGCACGGCUCCUUCAAGUGUGUGUGCAAUGCGGGCUACGAGCUGGGUGCUGAUGGCCGGCAGUGCUACCGGAUCGAGAUGGAGAUAGUGAACAGCUGUGAGGCGGACAAUGGCGGCUGCUCCCACGGCUGCAGCCACAGCAGUGCGGGCCCCGUCUGCACCUGCCCCCGUGGCUACGAGCUGGACGAGGACCAGAGGACAUGUAUCGACGUCGACGACUGUGCCGCCUCCCCGUGCUGCCAGCAGGUUUGCACCAAUAGCCCCGGUGGUUACGAGUGCAGCUGCUAUGCCGGCUACCGGCUCAGUGCGGAUGGCUGCGGGUGUGAGGACGUGGACGAGUGCGCCUCCGGCCACAGCGGCUGCGAACACCACUGUGCCAACCUGGCCGGCUCCUUCCAGUGCUCCUGUGAGGCCGGCUACCAGCUGGACGAGGACCGCAGGGGUUGCACCUCCCUGGAGCUGCCCGAGCUGGUCCUGGACGGCCACCUGCCCCUCGGGCGGCCCCCUCUGCACAUUGCGGUGCUCCAGGACCAGCUGCCCCCUCUCUUCCAAGACGACUACGCCGGGGCUGAGGAGGAAGAGGCUGAGGCACGGGGCGAACACACGCUGCAGGAAAAGUAUGUCUGCCUGGACAACACCUUUGGCCCAGACUGCAGCUUGACUUGUGAUGACUGCAGGAAUGGGGGAACCUGCCUCCCCAGCCUGGACAGCUGUGACUGCCCUGAUGGCUGGACCGGGCUCGUCUGCAACGAGACUUGUCCUCUGGACACCUUCGGAAAGAACUGCAGCUUCUCCUGCAGCUGUCAGAACGGCGGGACCUGUGACCCUGUGACGGGGGCCUGCCGCUGCCCCCCAGGGGUCAGUGGAGCCCACUGUGAGGACGGCUGCCCCAAAGGCUUCUAUGGCAAGCACUGCCGUAAGAAGUGCCACUGUGCCAGCCGGGGCCGCUGCCACCGCCUCUACGGGGCCUGCCUCUGUGACCCGGGGCUCUACGGCCGCUUCUGCCACCUGGCCUGCCCGCCGUGGGCCUUUGGGCCAGGCUGCUCAGAGGAGUGCAAGUGUGAGCAGCAGAAUACACGUGCGUGCGAUAAGAGGGAUGGCAGCUGUGCCUGCAAGGCGGGCUUUGGGGGCGAGUGGUGCCAGGACGAGUGCCAGCCAGGGUUCUUUGGGCCAGGGUGCCGGCAGACGUGCACCUGCCCCCUGGGCGUGGCCUGCGACCCUGUCAGCGGCGAGUGUGGGAAGCAGUGUCCCGCUGGCUACCACGGGGAGGACUGCAGCCAAGAGUGCCCGGCGGAGACGUUUGGCCAGAACUGCUCAGGCUCCUGCUCCUGUGGGGGCGCCCCCUGUGACCGGGUCACAGGGCAGUGUCUGUGCCCGCCGGGGAGGACCGGGGAUGACUGUGGGGCAGAUUGUCCCGAGGGCCGCUGGGGGCUUGGCUGCCAGGAGAUCUGCCCGCCAUGUGAGCACGGUGCCGCCUGUGUGCCGGAGACUGGAGCCUGCCUGUGCCGCCCCGGCUUCAUGGGCAGCCGCUGCCAGGAUGCCUGCCCUGCUGGCUGGUUUGGACCUGGUUGCCAGACGCGGUGCUCCUGUGCCAACGAUGGGCUCUGCCACCCAGUGACCGGCCGGUGCAGCUGUGCCCCUGGGUGGACCGGCCUCAGCUGCCAGAGAGCCUGUGACAGCGGCCGCUGGGGACCCGACUGCAGCUACGCCUGCAACUGCAGUGCAGGUCAUGGGGGCUGCGACGCCGUCAGCGGCCUGUGUGUGUGUGAAGCCGGCUAUGUGGGCCCGCGGUGUGAGGAGCGGUGUCCCCAGGGCUACUUCGGGCCGGGCUGUGGGCGGCGAUGCCAGUGUGAGCACGGGGCGGCCUGUGACCACGUCAGCGGGGCCUGCACCUGCCCUGCCGGCUGGAGGGGCACCUUCUGUGAGCGAGCCUGCCCAGCCGGCUUCUUUGGAAUGGACUGUGGCCGUGCCUGUGACUGCAGUGCCGGAGUCCCCUGUGAUCCCGUGAGCGGCUCCUGCCUCUGUCCUGCCGGCCGCCAGGGCCCCCGCUGUGCCCAGACCUGCCCAGCCCACACGUUCGGCCACAACUGCAGCCAGGCCUGCUCCUGCUUUAAUGGGGCCUCCUGUGACCCUGUCCAUGGGCAGUGCCGCUGUGGCCCUGGCUGGACAGGGCCCACCUGCCUGCAGGCCUGCCCAGAGGGCCUCUAUGGUGAGGACUGUCAGCUCUCCUGCCUGUGCCGGAACGGGGGCACCUGUGACCCAGUCUCAGGUCACUGCACCUGCCCAGGGGGCUGGGCCGGCCUGGCCUGUGAGAAGGAGUGCCUCCCCGGGGUCUUUGAAGCUGGCUGCCCGCAGAGCUGCGGGUGCCUGAAUAGCGGCCUCUGUGAUCCGCACACCGGCCACUGCCUCUGCCCAGCCGGCUGGACUGGGGACAAGUGCCAGAGCCCCUGUCCCGAGGGCACCUUUGGGGCCCGCUGUGAGGAGCGCUGCGCUUGCCGGUGGGGGGCCGCCUGCCACACCGUCACCGGGGCCUGCCUCUGCCCCCCGGGGUGGAGGGGCUCGCGGUGUGAGAGCGCCUGCCCACCUGGCUGGUUUGGAGAGGCCUGUGCCCAGCGCUGCCAGUGCCCCCCGGGCGCCGCCUGCCACCACGUCACCGGGGAGUGUCACUGUCCCCCGGGCUUCACGGGGCCCAGCUGUGAGCAAGCCUGCCCACUUGGCACCUUUGGGGAGCGCUGUGGGCAGCAGUGCCACUGCCCCGGCGAGAACCAGGCCUGCCACCCCGCCUCGGGGGCCUGUGCGUGCUCCCCCGGCUACCACGGCGCCGGCUGCCAGCAACGGUGCCCGCCAGGGCGGUUCGGGCCUGGCUGCGAGCUGCUGUGUGGGUGUCUCAACGGGGGCUCCUGUGACGCGGUCACCGGGGCCUGCCGCUGCCCCGCCGGAUUCCUUGGGACUGACUGCGGCCUCGGCUGCCCCCAGAAUCAGUUUGGUGUGAACUGUGAGCAUGCGUGCUCCUGCAGGAAUGGGGGCCUGUGUCAUGCCACCAACGGCAGCUGUUCCUGUGGCCUGGGCUGGACAGGGCCACACUGCGAGCUGGCCUGCCCCGCUGGGCGCUAUGGUGCUGCCUGCAGCCUCGAGUGCUCCUGCCACAACCACGGGACCUGUGAGCCCACGUCGGGGGCCUGUCGCUGCAGCCCCGGCUUCUAUGGCCAAGCCUGCGAGCACCCCUGUCCCCCCGGCUUCCAUGGGGCUGGCUGCCAGCAGACGUGCCAGUGUCAGCAUGGCGCCCCCUGCGACCCCGUCAGCGGCCGGUGCCUCUGCCCUGCUGGCCUCCAUGGCCAGUUCUGCGAGUGGGGGUGUGAGCCGGGCUCGUUCGGAGAGGGCUGCGGCCAGCAAUGUGACUGCGAGCUUGGGGUGCCCUGCAACCCCAUCACCGGCCACUGUCUGUGCCCCCCUGGGCGCACAGGGACCACCUGUGACCUGGGCUGCAGGAGGGGCUUCUUCGGGCCGGGCUGUGCUCUGCACUGCUCCUGCGGGGGUGGAGCCGACUGCGACCCUGUCAGCGGGCAGUGCCUCUGCGUGGACGGCUACACAGGGCCCAUGUGCCGGCAGGGUGGACCCUCCCAGCUCCCGGAGAGCCCAUCUCCAGCCCUGGGCCCAGUGGCCCUACAACCAGCCUCCCACCAGACCUGGGCUCAGCAGCAGCCUAGAGAAGCACUAGCUCAGGGGCAGCCCCCGCUGAGGCUUGGCUCCCAGGGGCCACUGAGGGGACCUGGGGGCUUUGGUGUCCACUGAGGAGGGACGUGCGGGGGCCAGGACUCCGGCCCCACCCUGGUCUCCGAGGCCUGUGGACAGUGGCGCAGCCUUCCACUCUGCAAGGAUCUUCUGACCAGGAGGAUGGAGGCCCUGCCUGGCCCGCCCUGAGGAUCAUAGUGUGGAGGAAGCCGCACCUGCCAUGCCCCCGGGGUGAGACUGCAGGCAGGUGUGGGGGCAGGUGUGGGCCUGGGGCCCUUCCUUGGAGCAAGUUCUUCUGGUGCUAGGCCUGGGACUGCUGCAGUUCAGUCUGUUUACCUGGAAACAGAUGCUGGUGCUAGGCUGGGCCAUAUUUAUGGAAGGUAUUUAUGGGCAGCCAGACCCUGGGCACUGAAGGGCUGCCUGCCUGCUGCUCGACCUGGGAGGCCUUGACUCAGGCCUCUGGGUGGGGCUUCGGUACCCUGUGAAACCCAGUAAGUUA